CUUGCCUUUGGGGAGCGUGUGCCUGAGUCUCCAUUUGACCCAUCUGAAGGGACAAGGAGCUUUGCUCACAGCAUUGUUGUGCUGGAGAUUAUAUGGGAUCGUUGAAGAGCAGAGGACGAGGAGCUUCCCAGAACCACCUCUUGGAGAUGGGCACCCUGAGGGUGCUGGUUUCUGUCUUGAGAUAGCAGUGGGGCAGUUCAACACGUACGUGAGAGUUGCAACCCCUCGCUUCACCGCAGCUGAUGCAGCAGCACCGCUUCCUGCUCACCGUGGAUGCCUGCAGAC